GCCAGACUCCUACGGGAGGCAGCAGUGGGGAAUAUUGCACAAUGGGGGAAACCCUGAUGCAGCGACGCCGCGUGGGUGAAGGAGUAUUUCGGUAUGUAAAGCCCUAUCAGCAGGGAAGAACAAUGACGGUACCUGACUAAGAAGCACCGGCUAAAUACGUGCCAGCAGCCGCGGUAAUACGUAUGGUGCAAGCGUUAUCCGGAUUUACUGGGUGUAAAGGGAGCGCAGGCGGCGCGUUAAGCCUGGUGUGAAAGCCCGCGGCCCAACCGCGGGACUGCAUUGGGAACUGGCGCGCUGGAGUGCCGGAGGGGUAGGCGGAAUUCCUAGUGUAGCGGUGAAAUGCGUAGAUAUUAGGAGGAACACCAGUGGCGAAGGCGGCCUACUGGACGGUGACUGACGCUGAGGCUCGAAAGCGUGGGUAGCGAACGGGAUUAGAUACCCCGGUA
rnacentral:rRNA from 1 species